CCAACAUAAAGUUUGCUGCAGAACAAAUAGCUGCAACAUUGGUUUGCCUCUGCAGUGUGUAACCUGCACCUCAGAGGCAGAAUGCAAAAACGCUCAGCCGACGUACUGCACCGACCCCAUGGAAACUGCUUGCUUCACAGCUGUUGGAGAAACAGGUGCCGCCACAUACCUGAAUAAGGGGUGCAUGAGCGACCUCGCUUUUUUCCUGCCAUCUAUAGUUGUAGCUCGAUGUAAUGGAGACAGCUGUAACGCACCUAGCCCACUUAAGUGCGUUACCUGCAACUCAUUCGACACCUGCACGAAGCAGAACACAGAGUUCUGUAGAAAUGCAGACGCAAGAUACUGCUACGAGACAGCAGAGUCCAUAAAUAUCCCCGGCUCUUCAGAUGUUUUGAGCGUGAGCAAGGGCUGCACCAGGAGCUGUAUGGCCUAUUCAAAAGACAAGACCUACACCAACCACUGCUGCCAGAAGGAUGGCUGUAACAACAAGAGCCUUUUAAACGCUGCCACGGCCCCAUCCGCCCACUAUCUGGCUGGACUUAGCCUGCCGCUGAUGAUGGCCAUUUUGCACUAAAGUGGCAACCAUGAUGGCCAUUGCAGCCGAAGAGGUCUAACAGAACCCGCAGAUAAUUUUUCAAAAGUAGUUUUUAAUCGUUUUCCAUUUUAAAAAUAUAAUCAUUCCCCAUCCAUAUGAUUCAAAAUUAGUUAACGAACAUUGUAGAUCGUUUCAUAGGAGCCAGCAUAUAUUGGUAAAUUUUUGUACCCAGAAAAUAUGUGGGUGUCAAGACCCUAUUUCAGGAGAUUACUGCACUGGCGUGUUUUUAAUUAUAUUCUUCAGAUGUUCUGUUUUAUAUCAU